GUCAUCAAUUGGUAGCUUUUGGGGGAAGGUUUAGGUCACCAGGUGGUAAUAGGGGCACAAAUAGGCAAACAAUUGGUAGUAAGGGUCAUUAUAGGUUACCAGGUGGUGGUAGAGGUCAUUGUUGGUCUACAGGUGGUGGUAGAGGUCAUUGUUGGUCUCCGGGUGGUGGUAGAGGUCAUUGUUGGUCUCCAGGUGGUGGUAGAGGUCAUUGUUGGUCUCCAGGUGGUGGUAGAGGUCAUUUAAGGUUGCCAAGUGUUGGUAGAGGUCAUUGUUGGUAACCAAGUGGUGGUAGAGGUCAUUGUUGGUAACCAAGUGGUGGUAGAGGUCAUUGUUGGUCUCCAGGUGGUGGUAGAGGUCAUUGUUGGUCUCCAGGUGGUGGUAGAGGUCAUUGUUGGUCUCCAGGUGGUGGUAGAGGUCAUUUAAGGUUGCCAAGUGUUGGUAGAGGUCAUUGUUGGUAACCAAGUGGUGGUAGAGGUCAUUGUUGGUCUCCAGGUGGUGGUAGAGGUCAUUGUUGGUCUCCAGGUGGUGGUAGAGGUCAUUUAAGGUUGCCAAGUGUUGGUAGAGGUCAUUGUUGGUAACCAAGUGGUGGUAGAGGUCAUUGUUGGUCUCCAGGUGGUGGUAGAGGUCAUUGUUGGUCUCCAGGUGGUGGUAGAGGUCAUUUAAGGUUGCCAAGUGUUGGUAGAGGUCAUUGUUGGUAACCAAGUGGUGGUAGAGGUCAUUGUUGGUAACCAAGUGUUGGUAGAGGUCAUUGUUGGUAACCAAGUGGUGGUAGAGGUCAUUGUUGGUAACCAGGUGGUGGUAGAGGUCAUUGUAGGUCUCCAGGUGGUGGUAGAGGUCAUUUAAGGUUGCCAAGUGGUGGUAGAGGUCAUUGUUGGUAACCAAGUGGUGGUAGAGGUCAUUGUUGGUAACCAGGUGGUGGUAGAGGUCAUUGUAGGUCUCCAGGUGGUGGUAGAGGUCAUUAUAGGUCCCCAGGUGGUGGUAGAGGUCAUUGUAGGCCCCUGGGUGGUGGUAGAGGUCAUUUAAGGUUGCCAAGUGGUGGUAUAGGUCAUUGUUGGUAACCAGGUGGUGGAAGAGGUCAUUGUAGGUCUCCAGGUGGUGGUAGAGGUCAUUGUUGGUAAUCAGGUGGUGGUAGAGGUCAUUGUAGGUCACCAGGUGGUGGUAGAGGUCAUUAUAGGUCACCAGGAGCUGGUAGAGGUCAUUGUAGGCCCCCAGGGACUGGUAGAGGUCAUUAUAGUCACCAAAUGAUAGUAGGGGUAGUUGUAGGUCACCAUGGGACAGGAAGGAGUCAUGGUUGGUCACUAGGUCUCUCGAUAAUAAUCUGGAUCAGUGCAGGUCAUCAUGGGGUUGGAAGGGUUCAUUGUAUGUCACAGUUACCAGGUUGUAGCAGAGUUCAGUAACUUAUAGUAUCUAGAGGUUCCUAUAGCUCAGUCAGUGACUGGUGGCUGGGAGGGGUCAUUGGAGGUCGGGAGGUCACCAUGUAGUAGCAGGCAUCAAUGGUAACAGCACUGUGUGCAGUAUCUUGAACCACAAUCAUGUACAGUAAACUACGUUUAUAAUGAACACGCUUAUAAGAAACUGAUGGAUAUAUUGAAUUUAUUUAUCCCAUCCAUGUGCUGUAUAUAUGCUGUAUAUAUGGAGGAUGUGGGACAUAUCAACCGAGUCUUAGUUAGUCUGUAGUUAGUUAAAUGCAUCAUUUAACUAACUCCGGUUUAACAAACUAAAAUGAGUGAUCCCCUUAAUUUGUUAUCACCGCAGUUUACUGUAGUUUGUAGUUCUCAAAGUACAGAAAUAAUAGUAGACCAUUUUACUCUCUGGUAAAUGCCAUAAACAUAGAUUGUAGUAACCUACUUGACUUUGGAAAUUUGCAACUUUGCAUUAUUUAUGCCAUAAUAAAAGGGGAAACAAGACUAUGCAGCCAUUUCAAAGAACAAAAAACCCUGAAUACUUCAUCACGUU